rnacentral:rRNA from 1 species
AUUGAACGCUGGCGGCAUGCUUUACACAUGCAAGUCGGACGGCAGCACAGAGAAGCUUGCUUCUUGGGUGGCGAGUGGCGAACGGGUGAGUAACAUAUCGGAACGUACCGAGCAGUGGGGGAUAACUAAUCGAAAGAUUAGCUAAUACCGCAUAUUUUCUGAGGAAGAAAGCAGGGGACCAUUUGGCCUUGCGCUGUUUGAGCGGCCGAUAUCUGAUUAGCUAGUUGGUGGGGUAAAGGCCUACCAAGGCGACGAUCAGUAGCGGGUCUGAGAGGAUGAUCCGCCACACUGGGACUGAGACACGGCCCAGACUCCUACGGGAGGCAGCAGUGGGGAAUUUUGGACAAUGGGCGCAAGCCUGAUCCAGCCAUGCCGCGUGUCUGAAGAAGGCCUUCGGGUUGUAAAGGACUUUUGUCAGGGAAGAAAAGGGCGGGGUUAAUACCCCUGUCUGAUGACGGUACCUGAAGAAUAAGCACCGGCUAACUACGUG